rnacentral:rRNA from 1 species
UGCCAGCCGCCGCGGUAAUACGAAGGGACCUAGCGUAGUUUGGAAUUACUGGGCUUAAAGAGUUCGUAGGUGGUUGAAAAAGUUAGUGGUGAAAUCCCAGAGCUUAACUCUGGAAUUGCCAUCAAAACUUUUCAGCUAGAGUAUGAUAGAGGAAAGCAGAAUUUCCAGUGUAGAGGUGAAAUUCGUAGAUAUUAGAAAGAAUACCGAUUGCGAAGGCAGCUUUCUGGAUCAUUACUGACACUGAGGAACGAAAGCAUGGGUAGCGAAGAGGAUUAGAUA